UACGUAGGGGGCAAGCGUUGUCCGGAUUUAUUGGGCGUAAAGAGCGUGUAGGCGGCCAAGCAGGUCAGCUGUGAAAACUCGAGGCUCAACCUCGAGACGUCGGUUGAAACCGCUUGGCUAGAGUCCGGAAGAGGAGAGUGGAAUUCCCGGUGUAGCGGUGAAAUGCGCAGAUAUCGGGAAGAACACCCGUGGCGAAGGCGGCUCUCUGGGACGGUACUGACGCUGAGACGCGAAAGCGUGGGGAGCGAACGAGGAAUU
rnacentral:rRNA from 1 species